GCGGAUAUGGCGGAAUUGGUAGAACGCGCUAGAUUUAGGGGUCUAGUGCUAAAAAGCGUAUGGGUUCAAAUCCCUUUAUCCGCA
rnacentral:tRNA from 1 species